AGAGUUUGAUCCUGGCUCAGAGCGAACGUUAGCGGCAUGCCUAACACAUGCAAGUCGAACGGAAACGAUGGGAGCUUGCUCCCAGGCGUCGAGUGGCGGACGGGUGAGUAAUACUUAGGAAUCUGCCCAUUAGUGGGGGAUAACUCGAGGAAACUCGGGCUAAUACCGCAUAAUCCCUACGGGGCAAAGCAGGGGACCUUCGGGCCUUGCGCUAAUAGAUGAGCCUAUGUCGGAUUAGCUAGUUGGUGGGGUAAUGGCCUACCAAGGCAACGAUCUAUAGCUGGUCUGAGAGGACGAUCAGCCACACUGGGACUGAGACACGGCCCAGACUCCUACGGGAGGCAGCAGUGGGGAAUAUUGCACAAUGGGCGCAAGCCUGAUGCAGCAAUACCGCGUGUGUGAAGAAGGCCUGCGGGUUGUAAAGCACUUUCAGGAGUGAGGAAGGUUGGUGGUUAAUACCCAUUAACUGUGACGUUAGCUCCAGAAGAAGCACCGGCUAACUCUGUGCCAGCAGCCGCGGUAAUACAGAGGGUGCAAGCGUUAAUCGGAAUUACUGGGCGUAAAGCGCGCGUAGGUGGUUUGUUAAGUCGGAUGUGAAAGCCCUGGGCUCAACCUAGGAAUUGCAUUCGAAACUGGCGAACUAGAGUAUGGUAGAGGGAAGGGGAAUUCCAGGUGUAGCGGUGAAAUGCGUAGAUAUCUGGAGGAACAUCAGUGGCGAAGGCGCCUUCCUGGACUAAUACUGACACUGAGGUGCGAAAGCGUGGGUAGCAAACAGGAUUAGAUACCCUGGUAGUCCACGCCGUAAACGAUGUCAACUAGGUGUUGGAGGGUUUAACCCUUUGGUACCGCAGCUAACGCGUUAAGUUGACCGCCUGGGGAGUACGGUCGCAAGAUUAAAACUCAAAGGAAUUGACGGGGGCCCGCCGCACAAGCGGUGGAGCAUGUGGUUUAAUUCGAUCCAACGCGAAGAACCUUACCUACCCUUGACAUUGACAGAAUCCCUGGGAGAGGAUACGGAGUGCCUUCGGGUACGCUAAGACAGGUGGUGCAUGGCUGUCGUCAGCUCGUGUCGUGAGAUGUUGGGUUAAGUCCCGCAACGAGCGCAACCCUCGGAUUUAGUUGCCAUCAUUAAGUUGGGCACUCUAGAUCGACUGCCGGUGACAAACCGGAGGAAGGUGGGGACGACGUCAAGUCAUCAUGCCCCUUACGUCCUGGGCUACACACGUCCUACAAUGGCAAAUACAGAGGGCAGCGAAGCAGCGAUGUGGAGCGAAUCCCAGAAAGCUCGUCUCAGUUCGGAUUGCAGGCUGAAACUCGCCUGCAUGAAGUAGGAAUCGCUAGUAAACGCAGAUCAGCAUGCUGCGUUGAAUACGUUCCCGGGCCUUGUACACACCGCCCGUCACACCACGAAAGUUUGUUCAACCCGAAGUCGGUAGCUUAACCUUCGGGAGGGCGCUCACCACUUUGUGAUUCAUGACUGGGGUGAAGUCGUAAUAAGGUAGCC
rnacentral:rRNA from 1 species